rnacentral:misc_RNA from 1 species
GAUGAAGAACGUAGCGAAAUGCGAUAAGUAGUGUGAAUUGCAGAAUUCAGUGAAUCAUCGAAUUUUUGAACGCACAUUGCGCCCCUUGGUAUUCCAUGGGGCAUGCCUGUUCGAGCGUCAUUUGUACCCUCAAGCGUUGCUUGGUGUUGGGCGUCUUGUCGUAUUACGACUCGCCUUAAAUACAUUGGCAGCCGGCACUUUGGCCUAGGAGCGCAGCACAUUUUGCGAUCGUAGCCCGUUGUACUGGCGUCCAUCAAGAACAUUUACCACGUUUGACCUCGGAUCAGGUAGGGAUACCCGCUGAACUUAAGCAUAUCAAUAAGCGGAGGA